UUCCGGUUGAUCCUGCCGGACCCCACUGCUAUCGAGGUGGGACUAAGCCAUGCUAGUUGAGCGCACAGAACUAUGUCUGUGAGCGGCACACUGCUCAGUAACACGUAGCUAACCUACCCUUAGGACGUGGACAACCCCGAGAAAUUGGGGCUAAUCCGCGAUAGAUGUAUUGUCCUGGAAUGGUAUUACGUCUAAAGGUAUCCCAUACAUGUUUGGUAUAUGCCUAAGGAUGGGGCUGCGGCCGAUCAGGCUGUUGGUGAGGUAAUGGUUCACCAAACCUUUGACCGGUACGGGCCAUGAGAGUGGUAGCCCGGAGAUGGACACUGAGACAAGGGUCCAGGCCCUACGGGGCGCAGCAGGCGCGAAACCUCCUCAAUGCACUUACGUGCGAAGGGGCUACCUCGAGUGCCAUCUGAUGAAGGUGGCUUUUCCUAGGUCUAAAAAGCCUUGGGAAUAAGAGGGGGGCAAGACUGGUGUCAGCCGCCGCGGUAACACCAGCCCCUCGAGUGGUGGGGAUGAUUAUUGGGCCUAAAGCGUCCGUAGCCUGCCGUGUAAGUUUCCCGUUAAAUCCAGCGUCUUAAGCGUUGGACCGCGGGAAAUACUGUACGGCUAGAGAGUGGGAGAGGUCAGCGGUAUUCUUGGGGUAGGGGCGAAAUCCUUUGAUCCCCGGAGGACCACCAGUGGCGAAGGCUGCUGUCUAGAACACGUCUGACGGUCAGGGACGAAAGCUGGGGUAGCGAACCGGAUUAGAUACCCGGGUAGUCCCAGCCGUAAACGAUGCAUGCUAGGUGUUGGGUUGGCCACGAGCCACCCCAGUGCCGCAGGGAAGCCGUUAAGCAUGCCGCCUGGGAAGUACGAUCGCAAGGUUGAAACUUAAAGGAAUUGGCGGGGGAGCACCACCAGGCGUGAAGCCUGCGGUUUAAUUGGAUUCAACGCCGGA
rnacentral:rRNA from 1 species